ensembl:lncRNA
GGGUAGGGGUGGAGGGUGGGCAGCGUCCUGGGCUGGUGCAGAUGUUGGAUCAGAAGCUAGUCACGGGCAUACGCUGCAAACAGUAAACAAAGGAAGGGUGGUAGAGCAUCUAAUGUCAGACAAAGGUGAUUCCAACACAACAUGCAUUACUAUAGUGGAGAGCUUUUCGUAAUUACCAAAGGGUAAAUCCGAGAGGCUGAAAUGAUUCUAAAUGGAUAAGCAUCUAUUAACAUAGCCACAAAAUUUAAAGCAAACAUCAACAGAAGCAAAAGACAAGUUGGUAGAUUUCAGUACAUUUUUCUCUGUGUAAGAUAGAACAAUUUCAGUUCAGUUCAUUCAUUCAGUCGUGCCCGACUCUGUGAUCCCAUGGACUGCAGCACGCCAGGCAUCCCUGUCCUUCACUAUCUCCCGGAGCUUGUCAAACUCAUGUCCACGGAGUCCGUGAUUCCAUCCAACCAUCUCAUCCUCUGUCAUCCCCUUCUCCUCCUGCCGUCAAUUUUCCCAGCAUCAGAGUCUUUUCCAGUGAGUCAGUUCUUCGCAUCAGGAGGCCAAAGUAUUGGAGCUUCAGCUUCAGCAUCAGUCCUUCCAAUGAAUAUUCAGGGUUGACUUCCUUUCGGGUUGACUGGUUUGCUCUCCUUGUUGUCCAAAGGACUCUCAAGAGUCUCCUCCAACAUCACAGUUCAAAAGCAUCAAUAGAACAAGGCAGGACAUUAAUAAAGCUAUAGAAUAUUUGCACAUCAUGACUAACAGUCUUGACCUAGUAACUGUCAACUUCAAUAAUAUAACAGCCAGAUAGUUUACUGGCAAAAGCAAGUUUACUCAGGAACAGCAACAGAAAUUUCGACUUCAGACAAGCAAUCUGGUGCCGACUGUAAGCAAACCCACAGGACAAGGACGGAGAACUUGCUUUUAUAGGAAAAAGGAGGAGAUGGGCGGGGCCGCGAUGAUCACGGAAGAGUCCAUUGGAGGAACUAAGGGUAUGGUUGAUGGAGGCUUCCCAUUGGUUCCGCUGUUGCAGACUGGCUGAGUUGCAUGCUGCGGAGAGGGGUCUUCUGAGACGGGAGAGAGAUCAAAGGCCCCAAUGAAAGUAACAACCUUUUGCUUUCUCUUCCCUUAUCUUGUUUUAAACAGCUGCUGCUCAUCAAUCACCACUUUCGCUUCUGUGAUCUUGCUUGCUUGUUGCAGGGGAGGGAUCUGAGCUUUUUGAGCUAGAAGUUUCUGGUGUAUAAAAGACACCCAGAACAAAGCCAGGACACUCAGCCUUUGGAAGUAACUCUGCCGAGCGGGCACCGGUACUGAAUAAACCCUGCUGUUCUGUGCCGGGGUCCAGCCCCGGCUGAUCCAGGGUAUUCAAAGCGGGGACGGCGUCGACAACCUAUUUAUUUAAAUAUUUUAUCAAAGAUAUAAAGAGUAAUAGGAUGAGGAUAGCUCAGUGAGGAAAUUUAGUGGAGAAAAGAGGCUGAAUAAAAUUCCAAAGCAGGGAAUUUACGUCACCUACGAAGGCCGCAGGCGUCCUCCCGUUCUCCCAAAGGAGAGGAGACACUAAGGCCUCCCCGGUCGGAUCUUAGAAGCCCAGGCAAAAUUAGUAGGCUUGACGAGCUUCCCCGCCUCAGAGGAAAAAUUCAGCUAGAAGGUGAAAGAAAGAACGACAUGGGGAGACCAAGUU